rnacentral:rRNA from 1 species
GCACGGGUGCGUAACACGUAUGUAACCUACCUUGAUCAGGGGAUAGCCUCUCGAAAGAGAGAUUAAGACCGAUAAUAUGAAGAUACAGAUUGUACUUUCAUCAACUAUUUAUAGGAUCAAGAUGGGCAUGCGGAACAUUAGCUAGUUGGUAAGGUAAUGGCUUACCAAGGCUACGAUGUUUAGGGGAUCUGAGAGGAUGACCCCCCACAGUGGUACUGAGACACGGACCAGACUCAUACGGGAGGCAGCAGUAAGGAAUAUUGGUCAAUGGGCGGAAGCCUGAACCAGCCAUGCCGCGUGCAGGAAGACGGCCCUACGGGUUGUAAACUGCUUUUGCAGGGGAAUAAACCCCCGGAUGUAUCCGGGAUUGAAUGUACCUUGAGAAUAAGGAUCGGCUAACUCCGUGCCAGCAGCCGCGGUAAUACGGAGGAUCCAAGCGUUAUCCGGAUUUAUUUGGGUUUAAAGGGUGCGUAGGCGGCCUUGUAAGUCAGGGGUGAAAGACGGUAGCUUAACUAUCGCAGUGCCUUUGAUACUGCAGGGCUUGAAUGUACUUGAGGCAGGCGGAAUGUGACAAGUAGCGGUGAAAUGCAUAGAUUAUGUCCACCAGAACACCCAAUUGGCGAAAGGGGCAGCUUGGCUAAAGGU